AUUGAACGCUGGCGGCGUGCUUAACACAUGCAAGUCGAGCGGCAGCGGGCCCGCAAGGGUGCCGGCGAGCGGCGGACGGGUGAGCAAUACAUAGGAAUCUGCCUCAGAGCGGGGGAUAGCCAGGGGAAACCCUGAUUAAUACCGCAUGACGUCGAGAGACCAAAGUGGGGGAUCGUAAGACCUCACACUCUGAGAUGAGCCUAUGUCGGAUUAGCUAGUUGGCGGGGUAACGGCCCACCAAGGCGACGAUCCGUAGCUGGUCUGAGAGGACGAUCAGCCAAACCGGAACUGAGACACGGUCCGGACUCCUACGGGAGGCAGCAGUGGGGAAUUUUGGACAAUGGGCGAAAGCCUGAUCCAGCCAUGCCGCGUGUCUGAAGAAGGCCUUCGGGUUGUAAAGGACUUUUGUCGGGGAGGAAAUCCCCAGCGUUAAUACCGCUGGGGGAUGACAGUACCUGAAGAAUAAGCACCGGCUAACUACGUGCCAGCCGCCGCUGUAA
rnacentral:rRNA from 1 species